rnacentral:rRNA from 1 species
CCUACGGGAGACAGCAGUCGAGAAUCAUUCACAAUGGGGGAAACCCUGAUGGUGCGACGCCGCGUGGGGGAAUGAAGGUCUUCGUAUUGUAAACCCCUGUCGUGUGGGAGCAAGUUAAAAAGAUAGUACCACAAGAGGAAGCGACGGCUAACUCUGUGCCAGCAGCCGCGGUAAUACAGAGGUCUCAAGCGUUGUUCGGAAUCACUGGGCGUAAAGGGGGCGUAGGCGGUUUCGUAAGUCGUGUGUGAAAGGCGCGGGCCCAACCCGCGGACGUCACAAGAAAGUGGGAGACUAGAGUAAUGGAGGGGGAACCGGAAUUCCCGGUGUAGCAGUGAAAUGCGUAGAUAUCGAGAGGAACACUCGUGGCGAAGGCGGGUUCCUGGACAUUAACUGACGCUGAGGCACGAAGGCCAGGGGAGCGAAAGGGAUUAGAUACCCUGGUAGUC